rnacentral:rRNA from 1 species
GUCCACGCCCUAAACGAUGAUCACUGGGUGUUCGGGGAGCGAUCUCUGAGUACCGAAGCUAACGCGUGAAGUGAUCCGCCUGGGGAGUACGGUCGCAAGAUUAAACUCAAAGGAAUUGACGGGGACCCGCACAAGCGGUGGAUGAUGUGGAUUAAUUCGAUGCAACGCGAACAACCUUACCUACCCUUGACAUGUCCGGAAGGCCGCCGAGAGGUGGUUGUGCCCGAAAGGGAACCGGAACACAGGUGCUGCAUGGCUGUCGU